rnacentral:snRNA from 1 species
AGCAUUGCGCAGUGGCAGUAUGGUAGCCAAUGAGGUUUAUCUGAGGCACGAUUAUUGCUAACUGAAUGGGCACGGGGGCAAUAGGUGGGAGUUUGGCACAACUUCUGUGUGUGGGAUAUAACCACAAGAGGGGCAUUCCCUAACAAAAUCAAAUAUUU